GAUGAACGCUGGCGGCGUGCCUAAUACAUGCAAGUCGAGCGAACAGAUGAGGAGCUUGCUCCUCUGACGUUAGCGGCGGACGGGUGAGCAACACGUGGAUAACCUACCUAUAAGACUGGGAUAACUUAGGGAAACCGGAGCUAAUACCGGAUAAUAUAUUGAACCGCAUGGUUCAAUAGUGAAAGACGGUUUUGCUGUCACUUAUCGAUGGAUCCGCGCCGCAUUAGCUAGUUGGUAAGGUAACGGCUUACCAAGGCAACGAUGCGUAGCCGACCUGAGAGGGUGAUCGGCCACACUGGAACUGAGACACGGUCCAGACUCCUACGGGAGGCAGCAGUAGGGAAUCUUCCGCAAAGGGCGAAAGCCUGACGGAGCAACGCCGCGUGAGUGAUGAAGGUCUUCGGAUCGUAAAACUCUGUUAUUAGGUAAGAACAAAUGUGUAAGUAACUAUGCACGUCUUGACGGUACCUAAUCAGAAAGCCACGGCUAACUACGUG
rnacentral:rRNA from 1 species